rnacentral:rRNA from 1 species
AUGCAUUGCUCCGCCGUGCUCUUCUUCCUCCUCGUCCUCCCCCGACCCCGUCCAGCCGCGGCCGUCGGCGCCCCCGCCCCCGCCCCCGGCAGGAGCAUGAGCAUCACGCCGCCCCCCCUCCUGCCGUGCCUGGAGGAGGUGCUGCCGUGCACGGCGUACCUCAAGUCGGCGGGGCGCCCCGCGCCGACGUGCUGCACCGCCCUGGGCCGCGCCGCGGCCACCGAGAUGUCGUGCAUCUGCCAGCUGCUCGCCGACCCGGGGAUGCUCGCCGACUUCAACGUCAGCAGAGAGCAGGCGCUGGCGCUGCCCACGCGCUGCCGCCUUCCCGUCGGCUGCCGUGACAGCUCCGUCGGCAUGCCCGACCCAGUUGUGCAGGCGCCGCCGCCGCCGCCGCCCGCCAUUCGGACGGCGCCGCGCAAUACUCACGCCGGCGAUCCGUCACCGUUGGGCGGCGACCGGUGCAGGACAGGAAGCGCCUGGCGCGCUGUCUGGACGAUGCUGUUUGGCGAGUUGUUCUCGAUCGCUGUGUUGCUUUAG